rnacentral:rRNA from 1 species
GACGUAGGGCGCGAGCGUUUGUCCGGAUUUAUUGGGCGUAAAGAGCUCGUAGGCGGCUUGUCGCGUCGUCCGUGAAAACUUGGGGCUCAACCCCAAGCUUGCGGUCGAUACGGGCAGGCUCGAGUUCGGUAGGGGAGACUGGAAUUCCUGGUGUAGCGGUGAAAUGCGCAGAUAUCAGGAAGAACACCCGUGGCUAAGGCGGUUCUCUAGUACGGUACUGACGCUGAGACGCGAAAGCGUGGGGAGCGAACAGG